rnacentral:rRNA from 1 species
AUGAACGCUGGCGGCGUGCCUAAUACAUGCAAGUCGAGCGAACGGACGAGAAGCUUGCUUCUCUGAUGUUAGCGGCGGACGGGUGAAUAACACGUGGAUAACCUACCUAUAAGACUGGGAUAACUUCGGGAAACCGUAGCUAAUACCGGAUAAUAUUUUGAACCGCAUGGUUCAAAAGUGAAAGACGGUCUUGCUGUCACUUAUAGAUGGAUCCGCGCUGCAUUAGCUAGUUGGUAAGGUAACGGCUUACCAAGGCAACGAUGCAUAGCCGACCUGAGAGGGUGAUCGGCCACACUGGAACUGAGACACGGUCCAGACUCCUACGGGAGGCAGCAGUAGGGAAUCUUCCGCAAUGGGCGAAAGCCUGACGGAGCAACGCCGCGUGAGUGAUGAAGGUCUUCGGAUCGUAAAACUCUGUUAUUAGGGAAGAACAUAUGUGUAAGUAACUGUGCACAUCUUGACGGUACCUAAUCAGAAAGCCACGGCUAACUACGUG